AUUGAACGCUGGCGGCAGGCCUAACACAUGCAAGUCGAACGAGUGGCGGACGGGUGAGUAAUGUCUGGGAAACUGCCUGAUGGAGGGGGAUAACUACUGGAAACGGUAGCUAAUACCGCAUACCAUCGGAUGUGCCCAGAUGGGAUUAGCUAGUAGGUGGGGUAAAGGCUCACCUAGGCGACGAUCCCUAGCUGGUCUGAGAGGAUGACCAGCCACACGGGAACUGAGACACGGUCCAGACCCCUACGGGAGGCAGCAGGGGGGAAUAUUGCACAAGGGGCGCAAGCCUGAUGCAGCCAUGCCGCGUGUGUGAAGAAGGUCUUCGGUUUGUAAAGCACUUUAAGUGGGGAGGCGUUACCAACAGAAUAAGCACCGGCUAACUUCGUGCCAGCAGCCGCGGUAAUA
rnacentral:rRNA from 1 species